rnacentral:lncRNA from 1 species
UUUAUGAUCUUCAGAUGAUUUUUUUUUGUCCUAAUGCAGUUUAUUAACUAUGUUAUGGUUGGUACAUAUUGUUUAGUGUUGACCCAAGUAGUGUGUAAUAAUUACACUAACUUACAUAACGUUUUAUUUCCCUGGAGAUGGUCCCUGUCCCUUUAGGGCUGCUUUGCUUCUUACAGUAUUUAGAUUCUUAUCAAAAUCUCUGUCAAUGUGUAAAAUGCCUUCAAAUACCAUUUCCCAACCUCCUCUCCUCCAGACAACCUUUCGGGUUCCCUGAACUGUCUGGAGUCCUGAGCAGCAGUGUGCGUGGGAACACUGCAUCUUUUUAGAGCAUGGCCUCCUAUUUUGUUGCUUUUCUUUCUUGGAUUUUUUUCUCUCAUAUAAAAGUAUCUUUUCCUCUAUUCCCUUUUACCUUUCUUCAAAAAAAACUGGUCAUCAUUGAGAUGCCUGAUUAAGUCAUAGUAGGUUUAGAGGCUCUAUGCACAUAUAUGAGAAAUAGCUUUCCAAGUAGUGGGCUUCAGGGUACAGUGGUUCCUACAUAUUUUCUUAAAUGUAUUUAUUUUCAUUUUAUGUGUAUUGGUGUUUUGCCUGCAUGUAUGCUUGUGGGAGGGUGUCAGAUUCCCAGGAACUGGAGUUAUAGACAGUUGCAAGCAGCCAUGUGGGUGCUGGGAAUUGAACUCAGGAUCUCUGGAAGAGCAGUCAGUGUUCUUAACUACUGAGCCAUCUCUCCAGCCCCAGGAAGCUACAUAUUAUAUUGGAGUGUUCUAGGUUUUUUUUUUUUUAAUAUUUAUUUAUUUAUUUAUUUAUUUUAUGUAUAUGGAUACACUGUAGCUGUCUUCAGACAGCACCAGAAGAGGGCAUUGGAUCCCAUUACAGAUGGUUGUGAGCCACCAUGUGGUUGCUGGGAAUUAAACUCAGAACUUCUGGAAGAGCAGUCAGUGCUCUUAACCACUGAGCCGUCUCUCCAGCCAGCUGGAGGGUUUUGAACCACAAGAACCUGUGGGAACAAUAACUUUCUUUGAAGACGCACCCCCACCCCUCCCCAACUCCUGUUUCCAGCCCAAUGUGCCUGUGAAGAGCAAUGUCACAUACCUAGUGACAGAUGAAAGCAGAGGGUCCCAAAGUCCCAUAGACUUUCACCUGACCCUGUUUGCUUUAUCUGUCCCCCUGCCUUCUAUGCCUGGUGUCCCCUCCCCUGUGCACUGAGACCUUUCUGGGAGGAUGGGAAAGGGAAGAGCUGUGGGUGCAGCUGCCCAGUGGGCAAACCUAGCAUCUCUCAGUUUUCUUAGUCCCACACUGUCUCCUGCCUUCCAGCAUAGCUGCUGCCCUUCAUUCCUGACCCUCCUAUCCCCCCCAUGCCCCGGCAUGGUCCGGCCACUGUUUGCUAACUGAGCCUUUGGUAGGUGCUGCGUUUCUGAUUUCUCAUCUUUGCUCAACUCCCCGUCUGCUCUCCAAAUUCUGUUGACAUCUGUCAUCUGCUGGUGUCUUUGCUCCUGUUUCCCCAGGCCCUGUCUUUUUCUUAUCCCCUCACUCUUACAUCAGUGGGGAUCUUUCUGCAGCGCCAAGUCUGCUGGCUGCCUCACUGAAGGACCCCUCAGAUGCCGCAUGAUCUAGCAGGGCGUCUUGCAAAGCUUUGUAAUCCAACUCAAUUCUAGCCACAGAACACUGGAGUCUUAGUUAAAUAAAACUGGCCUCCAGCUUACACCUGGAUUUGAUUGCUUUAAAGUCUAGUCUUAAUAAAUGGAUUGGUAUUUCAUUUUUUUAUUAACUUUUUUUUUAACAGCCCCCCACCUCCACUUCCUUUUGAGACAAGAUCUCUCUAUGUAACCCAGGCUGUCUUGGGACUUGAUAUAUAGGCUAGGUUGGUGUUGAAUCCACAGAGAUCCACCUGCCUCCCGAGUGCUGGGAUUAAAGGCCUUUGCCAACAACGCUGGGCCUGACUGGUAUUUUAAAAGGUCAUUUUCUGUGUGAUCUCUUCCUGCUUAAAACUGUAACACAAUAUUUUUAGUGGCUUAUGCUGGUAUAGAACUUCUUCUGUAAAGUCCAGGGCUUGGCUAGGUCACCCUAAACUUUCUCUAUAUACAGUUUUCUCCUUCCUACCUCAGGUGAUCCCCCAGCAAUUCAGAAGGAGGCCAAUUCAAGAAGGUCAGGCUGGCUUUAGGAGUCCUUAAAACCCUCUGGCACGUGUCAUUUAUU